AGUGAACGCUGGCGGUAGGCCUAACACAUGCAAGUCGAACGGCAGCACAGUAAGAGCUUGCUCUUACGGGUGGCGAGUGGCGGACGGGUGAGGAAUACAUCGGAAUCUACUUUUUCGUGGGGGAUAACGUAGGGAAACUUACGCUAAUACCGCAUACGACCUACGGGUGAAAGCAGGGGAUCUUCGGACCUUGCGCGAUUGAAUGAACCGAUGUCGGAUUAGCUAGUUGGCGGGGUAAAGGCCCACCAAGGCGACGAUCCGUAGCUGGUCUGAGAGGAUGAUCAGCCACACUGGAACUGAGACACGGUCCAGACUCCUACGGGAGGCAGCAGUGGGGAAUAUUGGACAAUGGGCGCAAGCCUGAUCCAGCCAUACCGCGUGGGUGAAGAAGGCCUUCGGGUUGUAAAGCCCAUUUGUUGGGAAAGAAAAGCAGCAGGUUAAUACCCCGCUGUUCUGACGGUACCCAAAGAAUAAGCACCGGCUAACUUCGU
rnacentral:rRNA from 1 species